GAGUUUGAUCAUGGCUCAGAACGAACGUUAGCGGCGCGCCUAACACAUGCAAGUCGAGCGAGAAAGGGAGCAAUCCCCGGUACAGCGGCGCACGGGUGAGUAACACGUAGGUAACCUACCUCUGAGUGGUGGAUAACCUUCCGAAAGGAGGGCUAAUACAGCAUGAGCCCACGGGUCCGAGAGGAUCUGAGGGAAAAGUCGGCCAAUCCACGGAAGCUGACGCUUGGAGACGGGCCUGCGGCCCAUCAGCUAGUUGGUGAGGUAAUGGCUCACCAAGGCGAUGAUCGGUAGCUGGUUUGAGAGAACGACCAGCCACACUGGGACUGAGACACGGCCCAGACUCCCACGGGAGGCAGCAGUGGGGAAUAUUGGACAAUGGGGGAAACCCUGAUCCAGCAAUGCCGCGUGGGUGAUGAAGGCCUUCGGGUUGUAAGU
rnacentral:rRNA from 1 species